rnacentral:rRNA from 1 species
CUUGGUCAUUUAGAGGAAGUAAAAGUCGUAACAAGUUUCCGUAGGUGAACCUGCGGAAGGAUCAUUACCUAAAAGGAUACCCUACCGGUAUACCCCACCCGUGUCUAUCUACUCUUGUUGCUUUGGCAGGCCUGGUCUCCCACUGUGGGCUCUGCCUGCAUGUGCCUGCCAGAGGACCAAAUCUGAAUUUUAGUGAUGUCUGAGUACUAUAUAAUAGUUAAAACUUUCAAAACGGAUCUCUUGGUUCUGGCAUCGAUGAAGAACGCAGCGAAAUGCGAUAGUAAUGUGAAUUGCAGAAUUCAGUGAAUCAUCGAAUCUUUGAACGCACUUGCGCCCUGUGGUAUUCCGCAGGGCAUGCCUGUUCGAGCGUCAUUAUACCACUCAAGCCUUGCUUGGUGUUGGGGCUCGCAAUCUUGCGGCCUCUAAAUCAGUGGCGGUGCCGGUAGGCUCUGAGCGUAAACAUCUUCUCGCUAUAAGUCCUAUCGGUCCCCUGCCAAAACCCCCAUAUUUUAUAGGUUGACCUCGAUCAGGUAGGGUUACCCGCUGAACUUAAGCAUAUCAAUAAGCGAAGG